GGGGAGCAAGUGCACAGUGACUCCUGUUGUUGAUUUAACAAUUGACACUCUUAUUUAUGACAUCAUUCUAAGGAAGGAGCCACUUCUGAGUUUACUAGUGUGGUGUCUGGCCAGCCUCAGAUCCUCAUGGGUGACCGUGAGACAUCACCACCUGGAGACAGGUGAUGCUCCAGGUCAUCCCGGCACCUUCCCAGCUACUGUCAUCACUUGGCCAUCCACGGGGAUCUGCCUGGCCUGGGGCUGCGAAUCUCCAGAAUUAGAACAAGGCAUUUGGACAGCGUGGAAAGGUCCCUGGGAGAGCCAAUCAGAAUUUACAGGGGCCAAUUCAAAUGGAAAAGACAUGGCCAAGUCAGGAAUUAUUGCGCUAAGAGGUUUACUGCAGUGUAGAGGAGGUGAAAAUGGUACCUGCAACAUUUCACUCCAUGAAAACACCACAACCACCAUCGAAGGAAGAGUAAAGUUUUGUGCCUGAAGAACGCAGUCACGAUACAUUGCUUUGGAAAUGAGGAUCCACUUGACAUCCACAGAAAUCUGAAGCUUACUUCUCUUUCCCUCCCUACUGGACUACUUGAGGAUACUACCAGUGGUUAUUAUGUCAUACGUCCACUCAAAUACUGUUUUAUAUAAAUACAGUUGGGCUGCAAGAUGGACUCCAUGAUCUGCUGCACCCAUCCCAUUGAUGAAGUCUGUUGUUUGAAUCAGAGAAACGCCGAACACAGGGACAGCUUUUGUCUUCAAUUUCUAACCCAUAUAAACCUUUCAAGAGGUUCUGCUACAGAUAAAAAUGUUAUACUUUUCUGGUUUCAUAGCUUGGAAUUAGUAAAUAAUGUUUUCACUUGAUUAAAAUGUAAAGCCAAUUAAUAGAAGAUAGUUACUAUGAAAUUAGUCAGAUUUCAUAAUUUGAAAGAAAUCUGUAUGUGUGAUAGCAUGAUUAAUUAUUUAUGAAGAAUUUUCUUUGUGACUAAAGAGAUACCUGUAAAUGGGUUUCUAAAAAUGAGAUUCAGUAAUUAUCACUUAAACAACUCAUUACCUAUUUCAGAAUUCUACCAGUCAAGUUCUUUAUCAUUCCUAAAUUGGAAUUAGAAAGGGGUGAAGAGAAACUGAAAUCAUUAUCCAUUUCAUAAUAGUGGCAGCCUACCUUCCAUCAGUUUUCCAAAGGUAUGAGAGAGUAAUGAUGGAGGUUGUUUUUGCUUUUGAAAAAAAAAAAAAAAAAAAAGGCUUCAUUUAAAUUACCUAAGUUGGUACCAUUUUUUAGAAUUCUAUUUUUGUCUUUCCCGCCCUGCUACCACCUCAUUGUUUUACAAGUAAUGAUAAAUGUGAUAAUGAGUAAUGACAUCUAUUCAUGGAAAAUGUGAAAAGUCUGAAGGUACCUUUACUUUUCAUUAGGAAAAUGUGUCCCUAGCGGAGUCAGGCACCUCAGCUUCAUCAGCCCAGCUCCAAUUCUGUAAAAGAAAUGAAUUUUCUUUAAAUUU
rnacentral:lncRNA from 1 species